GUAUACAAUCUGCCUUGUACUGGGGGAUAGCCUUUAGAAAUGAAGAUUAAGACCCCAUAACGUAUUUAUGCCGCAUGUAUUUAUAUUAAAGGUUACGGUACAAGAUGAGUAUGCGUCCUAUUAGCUAGUUGGUAUGGUAACGGCAUACCAAGGCAACGAUAGGUAGGGGCCCUGAGAGGGGGAUCCCCCACACUGGUACUGAGACACGGACCAGACUCCUACGGGAGGCAGCAGUGAGGAAUAUUGGACAAUGGGGGCAACCCUGAUCCAGCCAUGCCGCGUGCAGGAAGACUGCCCUAUGGGUUGUAAACUGCUUUUGUACGGGAAGAAACACCGCUACGUGUAGCGCUUGACGGUACCGUAAGAAUAAGCAUCGGCUAACUCCGUGCCAGCAGCCGCGGUAAUACGGAGGAUGCAAGCGUUAUCCGGAAUCAUUGGGUUUAAAGGGACCGUAGUGGGCCGGUCAGUCAGAGGUGAAAUCCUGCAGCUCAACUGUAGAACUGCCUUUGAUACUGCCGGUCUUGAAUUAUUGUGAAGUGGCUAGAAUAUGUAGUGUAGCGGUGAAAUGCAUAGAUAUUACAUAGAAUACCGAUUGCGAAGCAGGUCACUAACGAUAUAUUGACACUGAUGGACGAAAGCGUAGGUAGCGAACGGGAUUAGAUACCCCGGUAGUCUACGCCGUAAACGAUGGAUACUAGCUGUCCGGCUUCGGCUGGGUGGCCAAGCGAAAGUGAUAAGUAUCCCACCUGGGGAGUACGUUCGCAAGAAUGAAACUCAAAGGAAUUGACGGGGGCCCGCACAAGCGUGGAGCAUGUGGUUUAAUUCGAUGAUACGCGAGGAACCUUACCAGGGCUUAAAUGCAGAACGACAGCUUUAGAGAUAGAGUUUUCUUCGGACGUUUUG
rnacentral:rRNA from 1 species